GUGGGGGUGGCAGAGUAGUGCGUUAGACUUAGGCUCUAAAUAUAAACUGUGGUAUAAGUUUUCCUCAUA
rnacentral:tRNA from 1 species